CAUAACCGCACGGGGUGCAUGACCUGUCACGUACAGGGCAAGCUGAGAUAAUACCCGUAUAACCUGAUCCGGAUAAUACCGGCGUAGGAAUGCUGUAGAAAUGGCGU
rnacentral:ncRNA from 2 species